AAAUGGCUGUAGCCUGGGCAGGCCUGGCGGAUGCGAGGUUCGUGCUGGCGUGUUAUGGAAAGGUGGCUCCUCGCGAACUGAUGCCGAAGGCGCGCGUUGCCGCCGAGAAGGCCAUGGCGAUCGAUGAGUCGCUGGCCGAAGCGCAUGUAUCCCUGGCGGCAGUGAUGGCCAUUUAUGACUGGGAUUGGGCGGGAUCGGAGAAGGAGUUCCGCCGUGCCAUGGAACUCGAUCCGGAUUGCGCACCG
rnacentral:misc_RNA from 1 species